CCUACGGGGGGCAGCAGUAGGGAAUCUUCGGCAAUGGGCGAAAGCCUGACCGAGCAACGCCGCGUGAAUGAAGAAGGCCUUCGGGUUGUAAAAUUCUGUUAUAAGGGAAGAAAGGUGAUAGGAGGAAAUGACUAUCAAUUGACGGUACCUUAUGAGAAAGCCACGGCUAACUACGUGCCAGCAGCCGCGGUAAUACGUAGGAUGCGAGCGUUAUCCGGAUUUAUUGGGUUUAAAGGGUGCGUAGGCGGACUGUUAAGUCAGCGGUAAAAGCCCGGGGCUCAACCCCGGCGAGCCGUUGAAACUGG
rnacentral:rRNA from 1 species